CAAAAACAUAGCCUUAGGGAAAAUAUCUAAGGUAGGCCCUGCCCGGUGAGUGAUUUUAACGGCCGCAGUACCCUGACUGUGCUAAGGUAGCGUAAUCAGUUGGCUUUUAAAUGGAGUCGAGAAUGAAUGGGUGAAUGGGGGGAUUCUGUGUCCCUUCUGUUCAGUGGAACUUAUUUAAAUGGUGAAAAUACCAUUAAAAAGAAAAAAGACGAGAAGACCCUUAGAAUCUUAACUAAAAUGUUUUAGUAACACUCAGUUUUUGUUGGGGCGACACCGGGGCAGGCCGCGCAGGCAUAAACCCCCGAAAGAAGGAAGUCACAUGACGAUAGUUAUAAGCAGGAUUAGAUUACCUGAGGGAUAACAGCAUAAUUUUUUUAAAGCUUGUGACCUCGAUGUUGGACUAGGGACCUUACGACUAGCCGUCGUAUUGGAAAGAUCUGUUCGAUCUCUUGCCCCUACGUGAUCUGAGUNCAGACCGGNNNA
rnacentral:rRNA from 1 species